rnacentral:sRNA from 1 species
GUCAGGUGUAGUGGUAUACACCUGUAGUCCCAGUUACUUGAGAGGCUGAAAUGGGAAAAUUGCUUGAACCCAGGAGUUCAAGGUCAGCCUAGACAACAUAGUGAGACCCUAUCUUAA